CAGUAGCCGCGGGAAUACGUAGGUGGCAAGCGUUGUCCGGAAUUAUUGGGCGUAAAGGGCUCGCAGGCGGUUUCUUAAGUCUGAUGUGAAAGCCCCCGGCUCAACCGGGGAGGGUCAUUGGAAACUGGGAAACUUGAGUGCAGAAGAGGAGAGUGGAAUUCCACGUGUAGCGGUGAAAUGCGUAGAGAUGUGGAGGAACACCAGUGGCGAGGGCGACUCUCUGGUCUGUAACUGACGCUGAGGAGCGAAAGCGUGGGGAGCGAACAGGAUUAGAUACCCCGGUAGUCCCUGUCUCUUAUAC
rnacentral:rRNA from 1 species